rnacentral:tRNA from 1 species
CCCUGGGUGGUGUAAAUGGUUAACAUGCUCAGCUGCUAACUGAAGGUUGGAAGUUUGAGUCUACCCACAGGAA